rnacentral:rRNA from 1 species
CAAGUCGAGGGGCAGCAGGUUUGUAGCAAUACAGAUGCUGGCGACCGGCAAACGGGUGCGGAACACGUACGCAACCUUCCUCUAACUGGGAGAUAGCCCACCGAAAGGUGGAUUAAUAUCCCAUAAUAUAUAUGAGUGGCAUCACUUAAAUAUUAAAGUUCCGACGGUUAGAGAUGGGCGUGCGCCUGAUUAGGUAGUUGGCGGGGUAACGGCCCACCAAGCCUACGAUCAGUAGCUGAUGUGAGAGCAUGAUCAGCCACACGGGCACUGAGACACGGGCCCGACUCCUACGGGAGGCAGCAGUAAGGAAUAUUGGUCAAUGGACGCAAGUCUGAACCAGCCAUGCCGCGUGGAGGAUGAAGGUCCUCUGGAUUGUAAACUUCUUUUCUCUGGGACGAAACCCCCGAUUUCUAUCGGGCCUGACGGUACCAGAGGAAUAAGCACCGGCUAACUCCGUGCCAGCAGCCGCGGUAAUACGGAGGGUGCAAGCGUUAUCCGGAUUUACUGGGUUUAAAGGGAGCGUAGGCGGGCAGUUAAGUCAGUGGUGAAAUCUCUGGGCUUAACCCGGAAACUGCCAUUGAUACUAUCUGUCUUGAAUAUUCUGGAGGUAAGCGGAAUAUGUCAUGUAGCGGUGAAAUGCUUAGAUAUGACAUAGAACACCCAUUGCGAAGGCAGCUUACUACGGGAUUAUUGACGCUGAGGCUCGAAAGCGUGGGGAUCAAACAGGAUUAGAUACCCUGGUAGUCCACGCCCUAAACGAUGAUUACUCGACAUUAGCGAUAUUACAGUUAGUGUCUAAGCGAAAGCAUUAAGUAAUCCACCUGGGAAGUACGACCGCAAGGUUGAAACUCAAAGGAAUUGGCGG